UACAGAGGGUGCGAGCGUUAAUCGGAAUUACUGGGCGUAAAGGGCUCGUAGGCGGCCAACUAAGUCGGAUGUGAAAUCCCCAGGCUCAACCUGGGAACUGCAUCCGAUACUGGAUGGCUUGAAUUCGGGAGAGGGAUGCAGAAUUCCAGGUGUAGCGGUGAAAUGCGUAGAUAUCUGGAGGAAUACCGGUGGCGAAGGCGGCAUCCUGGACCGACAUUGACGCUGAUGAGCGAAAGCUAGGGGAGCAAACGGGG
rnacentral:rRNA from 1 species